AAAUGAACACCUAUCCCUGGAAAUGAUCAGCAACAGUACAAUCCUCUAGGCCAGUAUUCACUGCAAGGACCACUGAUAGCAAUGAAUUGGGCUGAUUCUUCAAGCCACUGAUAAUACAACAGAAAAUGACAGUACUAAGUGUGGUAAGGCGGGAGCAGACAACAGGAGAUUACAGGAAGAACAUAGUGCGCAUCCAACAUCUAGGCCUGCAUCUCAACAACUGCCCUAUUGCACAGCAGCAGUAGGAACAUUAGGGAGUGCUCUUGCAGGAGAAGAAAAUACAGAACAACCAAACUGCUUUGUGCUGGAUCCCAAAUAGAUGUGCAUUUCUGAGGAGCAUCACUUUAAAGUCAAGUUAACCUUGGACCAAACAUUAACAGUUGAAUUAUUCACACUUCUGCAGGUGAGGAAG